UUCCAAACCAAAAGAAGAAGAAAAGUUAAGUUCUUAUAAUAAAAAGUACAUUCUUGAGAAUUAUCAGUCCUGCAUUCUUAACCUUACAACUGACCCAGGAUGAUUAUCAGUCAUGUGUCAGGGCAGGCGGGGUGAUGGAUGCCAGGAGGUUUGGUCACAUCCUUUGAUCUGGAUAACGGAUAUCAGGUGGAUGUAUACGUGAGUCCUUUAGGGAUAGAGGGUUAUCUAGAAGUCCAUUUGUAAAUCCAAGCAUUGACACAGGACUAGAAAGGUUAAAAAAAAAAAGUUUAUGGUCCCAGGUUAGUUGGAACAAGAAUGGAAUCUUUCAUGCCUCAAAUUCAUGUUAAUUUUUAGUAGCUUAGCUAAAAUGACUCAUCUUAUAUA